rnacentral:rRNA from 1 species
GAUGAACGCUGGCGGCGUGCCUAAUACAUGCAAGUCGAGCGAACAGACGAGGAGCUUGCUCCUCUGACGUUAGCGGCGGACGGGUGAGUAACACGUGGAUAACCUACCUAUAAGACUGGGAUAACUUCGGGAAACCGGAGCUAAUACCGGAUAAUAUAUUGAACCGCAUGGUUCAAUAGUGAAAGACGGUUUUGCUGUCACUUAUAGAUGGAUCCGCGCCGCAUUAGCUAGUUGGUAAGGUAACGGCUUACCAAGGCAACGAUGCGUAGCCGACCUGAGAGGAUGAUCGGCCACACUGGAACUGAGACACGGUCCAGACUCCUACGAGAGGCAGCAGUAGGGAAUCUUCCGCAAUGGGCGAAAGCCUGACGGAGCAACGCCGCGUGAGUGAUGAAGGUCUUCGGAUCGUAAAACUCUGUUAUUAGGGAAGAACAAAUGUGUAAGUAACUAUGCACGUCUUGACGGUACCUAAUCAGAAAGCCACGACUAACUACGUG